UAAGGCACGCUGUGAAUGCCA
rnacentral:miRNA from 1 species